GUGAACGUUACCAAACUGUUGCCUCGGCGGGAUCUCUGCCCCGGGUGCGUCGCAGCCCCGGACCAAGGCGCCCGCCGGAGGACCAACCAAAACUCUUAUUGUAUACCCCCUCGCGGGUUUUUUUAUAAUCUGAGCCUUCUCGGCGCCUCUCGUAGGCGUUUCGAAAAUGAAUCAAAACUUUCAACAACGGAUCUCUUGGUUCUGGCAUCGAUGAAGAACGCAGCGAAAUGCGAUAAGUAAUGUGAAUUGCAGAAUUCAGUGAAUCAUCGAAUCUUUGAACGCACAUUGCGCCCGCCAGUAUUCUGGCGGGCAUGCCUGUCCGAGCGUCAUUUCAACCCUCGAACCCCUCCGGGGGGUCGGCGUUGGGGAUCGGCCCUGCCUUGGCGGUGGCCGUCUCCGAAAUACAGUGGCGGUCUCGCCGCAGCCUCUCCUGCGCAGUAGUUUGCACACUCGCAUCGGGAGCGCGGCGCGUCCACAGCCGUUAAACACCCAACUUCUGAAAUGUUGACCUCGGAUCAGGUAGGAAUACCCGCUGAACUUAAGCAUAUCAAUAAGCCGGAG
rnacentral:rRNA from 1 species